ensembl:lncRNA
AGAGUGGGGUAGUGGAGUAAGGUAGUGGAGUAGCGGAAUAUGGUAGAGGAGUGGGGUAGAGGAGUGGGGUAGUGGAGUAGCGGAAUAGGAUAGUGGAGUGGGGUAGAGGAGUAGCGGAAUAGGAUACUGGAGUGGGGUAGAGGAGUAAGGUAGAGGAGUAGCGGAAUAGGAUAGAGGAGUGGGGUAGCGAUCUAGCGGAGAGGGUGGUAGCAUCAUCAACAUCAUUCUCUUGGCGUGCGUCCCCUAUAUAGUUCCUAUGGGAUGCAGCCUUGGUAAAUUAACUGGUGAUUUGGGUGAUUUGGGUGAUGAUGUCCCUGUAGGAGAUUUGGGUGUCAUUGUUCUGGUGGAGGGAUUAGGGUGGCUUUACACCUCAGGCAGUGUGUGUGUGUGUGUGUGUGUGCGUGCGUGUGUGUGUGUGUGUGUGUGUGUGUGUGUGUGUGUGUGUGUGUGUGUGUGUGUGUGUGUGUGUGUGUGUGUGUGUGUGUGUGUGUGUCUAUAUGUGCGUGUGUGUGGGUGUGUGAAUGUUCUACAUAAUAUGAGUAAUUGUGUUUUCUAACAAGGCAGGGGUGAGAGCCAAAUAAAACAAGGUAACGAUAAACCUGUCGUCCCCCACGAAUCAUGCAGCCCCCCGAUAGUGCCGAUUUAAAUAUUGCAUGUGACUAAGAACAUUCAGUUAAUUACUGUAGGCUACCGCCAUGGGCCAAUCAGUGUAAUUUUGUAAAUGUUUUCUAUGGCAAGACGCGUUAUUCACCCAAGUAUCAUCAAAAUCGGACCAGUGCUGUUUGAGAUUUUGCGUGUGACGAACAUACAAACGUACAGACAGAGGAGAUCCACAGUCACCUCCGAUUUCAUUGUGGGGGACAAUACAAUGUACAAUAAUGGAGCUAUAUGCAGGGAGUACCAGUACGGGAUCAAUGUGCAGGGGUAUGAAGUAUUUGAAGUAGAUGUGUACAUGAAGGCAGGGUAACAUGGUAUCAGGAUAGACGACAAUAAGAGUAAACGUAGUCUUCCCUUGGGGUAAUCAGUGUAAUUUUACAUUUUCUGGAUCUCUAUGGCAAGACACAUCAUUCACCCAAGUAUCAUCAAAAUCGGACCAGUGGUGUCAUAUCCCUGAGCAUGUGUGCCAAAUUAUAGCACUCUGAGUCAAACAGAUCAAGAAAUAUAAACGUGUGCCCGUUAUAGCGCCACCGUGUGGUCGAUAUGAAUGUUAUUGCAUGUGUUGAGUCUUGACAGUGUUUGCAACUUG